rnacentral:rRNA from 1 species
UACGGAGGGUGCAAGCGUUAUCCGGAUUUACUGGGUUUAAAGGGUGCGCAGGCGGAUAUGUAAGUCAGUGGUGAAAUCUCCGGGCUUAACCCGGAACUGCCGUUGAUACUAUAUAUCUUGAAUGCUGUGGAGGUAAGCAGAAUAUGUCAUGUAGCGGUGAAAUGCUUAGAGAUGACAUAGAAUACCUAUUGCGAAGGCAGCUUACUAACGCAGAUAUUGACGCUCAUGCACGAAAGCGUGGGGAUCAAACAGG